rnacentral:tRNA from 1 species
GGUUGUGGCUCAGUGGUACAGCGUUUGCCUAGCAUGCUUGAGGUACUGGGUUCAAUUCUCAGCACCA